rnacentral:lncRNA from 10 species
CCACCAUGCCUGGCUAAUUUUUGUAUUUUCUAGUAGAGAUGGGGUUUUGUCAUGUUGGCCAGACUGGUCUCAAAUUCCUGACCUCGGUGAUCCACCCACCUUGGCCUUGCAAAGUGCUGAGAUUACAGGCAUGAGACACCAUGCCCAGCCUCCUAGACCUUCUUUCAACCAAUAUCAGACACAAGGGAGAGAGAAACUGUAUUAUUUAUCUAUUGCUGCAUAACAAAUUAUCUCAAAAUGUAGCAACUUAAAACCAUGAUAAACUCUGCCACCUUUCAUAGUUAUGUGAAUCAGAAUUUAAGGAGAGGCUUAUGGGUGAUCAUGGCUCAGCAUCUCUCAGGAGGUGGUAGCCAAAAUGUUGGCCUGGGCCAUAGUCAUCUAAGGGCUCACCUGUGGUUGGGGUAUCUGUCUCCCAGGUGGCUCAACUGUCAGGUCCAUGAUGACUGCUGUGAAUGGCCCCAGUUCCUGGUCAUCUGGAUUUCUCCAUAGGGCUGUUUGCUGAAUUCCUUCACAGUAUGGUGGCUGGCUCCUUACAAAAAGAGCCAUCCAAGAGAGCAAGAUGGAACCUGCAGUGUUGUUUAUGGCUUAUCUUAAAAGUCAAACCACCAUCUUCACAACAUCUUACAGGUGACAUUGGUCAGCUCUACCCAGUAUGGAAGUAGUCUGCACAGGGGCACACUAUCAAUCAAGUAGAAUAACAAAGGGCAAUCUUGGAAGCUGGCUGCUGCAAAGCCUCCUCCUGCAAAGCCUGCAAAUCCUGCUCCUACUCUAGACUCAUAGUUUUUUACUAAGAAUUUGUUUUGGGAAUGCCUCAGUCUUUUUAGUUAAAUGGUCAUGAUGGGGUAACAUUGGCAACAGACCCUCAGAAAUCAAGGUGUCCACUUCAUAAAGCACUACAUGGACACAUCAGAAAAAGUGUGAGAUGGGCAAGCGCUCCUAACUGAAGCAUCAAGGACCAAUGAGUCUACAGGACCCACUGUUCUCUCAACUUCCAAUGCAGCCCUUCUUCUGCUACCUUACCCUGAGGACUUGGACAUUCCAGCGUAUCGCAGAACCGGAAUUCAGCUCCCAUUGCCCACAACAGUGCUUCCCUGCCUCAGUUUCAUAGAAAUGAUCCCUUCGUAACUCAGCAGCUCAUAUACAGUGAUAAAGUAUCAAGUCCAUCGUUUUCCCAAAUCAAGAGCAAUGCAUCCCACACAAAUGGGCAAGAAUUGCAGCUGACAGAGGAAUCUCCCUAUCUUUGAACCUUCAGGAUUUUGCAGUGAUGUCAAGGUUUACACCCAUGUCUUCACUCCCAAAAUUUGGAUUUGAGCCUCAGAUCUACUAUUUACUAACUCUAUGAUCUUUGACAAAUCACUCGAAUUCCUGAUGCCUUAAGAAUCCUUUUGUUCCUGAGCAGAGUGACACAGUCUCCUGCAGUUGAGGAUCAUUGAUCUAGAGCAUUGAUUACAACGGAAGGCGUCUAAAGGAUGAGGCAAAAGUGAAAGCCAGAUUAUGGUUGUAUGUUUUUCCUGUAAGCCACCACAAACCUUUUGUGCAAUGAGAUAGGUGAUGAAUAAAGCAUGGAUGAAUCCACGCAUUAGAUGAGUAUGUGAAGUGGAUAUGGAGAGCACAUAAGAACCAAGAGCAGACAGAGCCCUAAGGAAAGACCUGGCUGACCUGCCGGAAGGAAAAUAGGUAUUAGGAAUCCUGAAAACCAUACUUCAGAGGAUUAUGUAUCAAGAAAGUUGGGGUCUAGGUGAGAGUCUUGUGAUUUGGUUGAAUUAAAAUUAAUGCAGCACUUCCAGCCCUGCAGUCAUUCAGGAGUCCCCAACUUACUACCAGUGGGAGCCAGGUUGAGAACACACAGACCUCCCAGCCAGCUGUCUCUGUAUCUACAGAGUUGAACUGGACUUAGUUUUUGUAUGAUAUCUCUUGAAUGAACAAACUUGGAUAUUAUGGGGAAAAACUAUGUUUUGAUUUUAUAAAUGUUGUUAUUGAUAGGUGACAGGGAGGUAAUAACUGCUUAUUAGCAUUUAAUGUGUCUGAUCAUUCAAUUAAUCUUGUAGAAAUUACUCUUAGACUUUCAACAACAUGUAACUAUAAGCACAUAUCAUUUGUUUCAAUUUAAUACAGUGGCUGAAAAGGAUAUCUAAGAAUUGUUUGUACCUCUGGGCAUAUCUUAGUGAGAGACUUCUCAUAGCAUUUGUUUAAACCUUAUGAAAACUGUAUUUAGUCAUGGACUGACAUGAAUUGUUCAUUGGAUUCAUUAGGGAUUAUAUCUAAGAUAAGAUUUAUUGCAUUUAUAAUAAAAUGUGUGAAUGAAGAA